UACGUAGGGUGCAAGCGUUGUCCGGAAUUAUUGGGCGUAAAGAGCUCGUAGGCGGUUUGUCGCGUCUGCUGUGAAAACCCGAGGCUCAACCUCGGGCCUGCAGUGGGUACGGGCAGACUAGAGUGCGGUAGGGGAGAUUGGAAUUCCUGGUGUAGCGGUGGAAUGCGCAGAUAUCAGGAGGAACACCAAUGGCGAAGGCAGCUCGCUGGAACGGUACUGACGCUGAGGCGCGAAAGCGUGGGGAGCAAACAGG
rnacentral:rRNA from 1 species